CGAACGGGUGAGUAAUACAUCGGAACGUGCCCAGUAGUGGGGGAUAACCCGGCGAAAGCCGGACUAAUACCGCAUACGACCUACGGGUGAAAGCAGGGGAUCGCAAGACCUUGCGCUAUCGGAGCGGCCGAUGUCAGAUUAGCUAGUUGGCGGGGUAAAAGCCCACCAAGGCGACGAUCUGUAGCUGGUCUGAGAGGACGACCAGCCACACUGGGACUGAGACACGGCCCAG
rnacentral:rRNA from 1 species